UGAAAAAAUUAGUAAUUUCGGUAGUUUUUCGCCUUAAUAAACGAUUUAAAGCUAAAACUGUUCAAAUACUGCACUGAUUUAUUUGUUAAAGAACUU